UAACAAGCCUUAUUCAUCAUUUAGGCUAAAAGUCCAAUGUUUAGAUCCAAAGCAAAUCCCAGUCCAGGUCCACAAAGCUACCCGUAAAUGCCACUCCGCCGCCGCAAACCACCACUAGUACUACCACCAAUCACCGCCACCGCCGUUAACAACCACGGCGAUAAACCAUGCUGACCCAACUCCUCUCCAAACUAAACCAUCAACCACCCACCACCACCAUCCUCCUCCUCCUCCGCCGGAAAACUACCUCAGCUGAAUACGUAGCCUCGAGAAACCGAGACCCCACUUUCGAAAAACUCAUGGACAAAUACAAAAACCUCUUCAAAGUCAUCUCGAUUCAAAACCUCAUCCUCGGCACCACCACCACCAACAACGCCACCGCCUCACCCCCCGCCGUGUCCGUCGACUUCCUCAACCGCUUAUCUCAGCGCCUCCAUCUCAACCGCGGCGCCACCCAUUUCCUCCGUAAGUACCCCCACAUCUUCCACAUUUUCCACCACCCCACCAAAUUACAACCCUUUUGUACACUCACUGAAUCCGCCCUCAAAAUCACCCAACAAGAAGCUGCAGCUAUCAAUGCUUCUUUACCACUUGUAAUCAACCGUUUAGUGCGUAUGUUGUCUAUGUCAGUGACUAAAACACUGCCCCUUAGAGCCAUUUUCAAGGUUUUUAGGGAACUUGGUUUGCCUGAUGAUUUUGAGGAUAGUGUAAUCUUGAAAAAAUCUAAUCUUUUUGCACUUGUUGAUAGUGGGAUUGAACCAAACACUCAUUUAUUGAAACUUGUUGGGGAUGUAAUACCGAAAAGUGAGUUAGUUGCAGCUGUUGAUAGUUGGAGGGUUAUGGAGUGUUGUAAAGAGGAUGUUGGGGUUGAUAGGAAUGAGAUUUUGUAUAGUUUUAAGCAUAGUUAUCCACCAGGGAUGAAGUUGAGGAGGAGUUUUAAGGCAAAGGUUAAGGAAUGGGAAAAGUUGAAGUACGUGGGGCCGUACGAGGCGGUGGAGAUUGGGGAGAAGAGAAAGAGUAAGAUUGGGACGAUGGAGAUGGAGAAAAGAGCUGUUGGGAUUGUUCAUGAGUUUUUGAGUUUGACAGUUGAGAAAAUGGUUGAGGUAGAGAAGAUUAGUCAUUUUAGGAAAUGGUUUGGGAUUGAUUUGAAUAUAAGGGACUUGUUUUUGGAUCAUCCAGGGAUAUUUUAUUUGUCGACGAAAGGGUAUAGGCAUACAGUGUUUUUGAGGGAGGCUUAUGAAAGGGGAUGCUUGAUUGAACCGAACCCGGUGUAUGAGGCUAGGAGGAAGCUUCUUGAUCUUGUUAUUUUGGGACGGCGUGGAUUGUCUAGAGGUCACUCUGAGCCAACGAGCGUGAGACAGGGUGACGAUGGUAUUGACGAGUUGAAGACUGAUUCAGAUGAAGAUUGAAUGCAGGGAUGCUUUGCAAUAGCUUAGCAGUGAAAAUGGAGGUAAGAAUAGAGAACACGAGUGCUGGAUUGUUCAUUUACUCUGAGGGAGAUGAGUAACAUCCAUAUUAGCAGAGACCAACUUCAGCGAGUGAGAUGAAUUAUCCUCCACAUUAGCAUAGAGGCUUGCGUUUGAGGAAAUGAGGCCGAGUUUCAAUUACUGAUUACACUGUUAUAAGGCUGCAAAAUUUGCUGCUUUAUAAUGGAUGACGUGGUGGUUGCAAGUGAAUGUUGAGUAUCACUGAUACUUUAAGAGAGUUACUCGAUUUAGAACUUGUGGUCUUUGGGUGAAGCUACACAGGCCGUAAUGCUUGCAGUGCCCUGCCUUUUGAACAAUGCACGACUGUUUUUGAUUGUUGCAAAUCUAUCUAGCCAAGCUGUUUUGUAACUUCUACAAGUUUUGUGAAGGUGGGGAAGCCAGCGAAUGGAAUCGGAGCAUUCAUUGUAUCAUCUUGGAAAAAGAAGUCCAAAUCCUGCAUGCAUGAUCUGGGAGCUGGAGACAGGCCAAGUGAAAUUAUGUAUCUUACUUGCUUACUAAUUAUCUUGGUUUCUUAGGCAUUAACUGCAAGUUGUGUUGUAUAUUACUCACAAGUUUCUGGGUCCGUGGUUUCUCCUUUUUUAUGAAUGUGUUGAAUUGUAAGCUGAUAUUAGUUGAAGAAGAAUGUAUAUUAAAUUUAUGAAAUUUGGUUUGGAAA